CUUAAAUUCAGAUUGUCGAAAUCCAUUGCAUCUUCGAGUUCCUUGAAAAUUGGUUCUCUUGGUGUUUCAUUACACUCUAGGACCCAAUGGAAAAUCACAAAAAAGGAUCAAAAGAUGCAUUGGUUGGUUUUUGAGGAAGGUGGACAGCCCGAUGGGACUGAAGUUGCUUAUUAUUCUCGUGGAAAGGGUUUCAUAACCGUCACGUAAGACAUAAUGAUUGCUUUCCUGUCACGGUUAUGUUCGUCCAUCACAAUUUGAAGCUCAUGCAGGUUGGGCGUCUAAAGAAAAACCGUCAGUGUCAUUCUUCUGUUUAGCUGUCUUUUAAGGAAUAUUUAUCCUCUUUAGCUGAUAGCUGACCUUGUUCUUCUGACGCAUUCCCAUUUAGAUGUUUGACAUUGCCUCAUGUCUCUGCAGCUAUGGAUACAUUUACACUUCAAAUGGAGUGUCUCUACAUGAAUUUGCUGUAUCCCUAUUGAAAGGUCGUAAGUCUUCUGUCGAAGAUAGUGAUGACCUGUGCAUAAUAUGCGCAGAUGGUGGAAACCUGGUGCUUUGUGAUGGAUGUCCAAGGGCCUUCCAUAAAGAGUGUGCAUCAUUGUCAGCUGUUCCCCGUGGUAAAUGGUACUAUAAGUAUUGUGAAAACAAGUUUCAGAGGGAGAAGUUAGCGGAGCACAAUGUAAAUGCUGUUGCUGCUGGGAGGAUUUCUUGUAUCCUUUGAAUGUUUACAGGGUUAUUACUUUCAGUUGCUUCUCUCCUGUAUAGAAAAGUUGCUUGCAUUUUUUAAUGUAAGAAAAUUUGUACUCCCUGCUGCUGUUGAAGUAAUGUCUAUAUGGACCGAGAAAUUCGGAUUCAAAGAGAUACCACCAGAUCAGCUUGUCAGCUACAAAAAAACAUGCUGGCAAAUGAUUAACCUUCAAAGGAACAUCUAUGCUGGAAAAAAUGGUUCCUAAAUGUCAGAAUCAUUCGGCAUGACGAAACUGAAACUGAUGCACCAGAUGAGUAGUAGGCUCUGCUAAAGAGGAUUCUUUUCCAUUCAACCCAUUUUGUAGAGCCAUUUCUGAUCACAUAUGUAUAUAUUACAAUCUUAUUUAAUCAAAGAGGAUGAAUUUAACUUUACAAAUUAUGAAUUUAAGAGGAUCAAAAUUUUGAAGGAUCUUUAUUACUCAAAA